UCUUGCAAUGAUGAUGAAUGAUAAUCCCAGCUCUAUGAGACCUUUUGUGGUCCGGGAAUAGGAUAGAUCCAAUACAUCUGAGCCCAGAA
rfam:Prunus persica cultivar Lovell chromosome G6, whole genome shotgun sequence.